AAUGCGCUGGAUUUAAGACCCAGAGAUGAAUUUUACCUUCCUCCAAAUAUGAGAGAGUGUGGAU
rnacentral:tRNA from 1 species